rnacentral:rRNA from 1 species
UAAUACGGAGGGUGCAAGCGUUAAUCGGAAUUACUGGGCGUAAAGCGCACGCAGGCGGUUGGAUAAGUUAGAUGUGAAAGCCCCGGGCUCAACCUGGGAAUUGCAUUUAAAACUGUCCAGCUAGAGUCUUGUAGAGGGGGGUAGAAUUCCAGGUGUAGCGGUGAAAUGCGUAGAGAUCUGGAGGAAUACCGGUGGCGAAGGCGGCCCCCUGGACAAAGACUGACGCUCAGGUGCGAAAGCGUGGGGAGCAAACAGGA